UACGGAGGGGGCCAGCGUUGUUCGGAAUCACUGGGCGUAAAGGGCGCGUAGGCGGCCGUUCAAGUCGGAGGUGAAAUCCCUCGGCUCAACUGAGGAAUUGCCUCCGAUACUGUUCGGCUUGAGUCCUGGAGAGGGUAGUGGAAUUCCCAGUGUAGCGGUGAAAUGCGUAGAGACUGGGAAGAACACCAGUGGCGAAGGCGACUACCUGGACAGGUACUGACGCUGAAGCGCGAAAGCUAGGGGAGCAAACAGG
rnacentral:rRNA from 1 species